rnacentral:rRNA from 1 species
GGAAACAGUGACUAAUACCGGAUAAAACCCAAGUGCACAUGCACUAAGGUUAAAAGCUGCGUUUGCAGCGCUUUAAGAUGGAUUCGCGGUGCAUUAGUUAGUUGGUGAGGUAAAGGCUCACCAAGACGAUGAUGCAUAGCCGYGUUGAGAGACUGACCGGCCACAUUGGGACUGAGACACGGCCCAAACUCCUACGGGAGGCUGCAGUAGGGAAUCUUCCACAAUGGGCGCAAGCCUGAUGGAGCAACGCCGCGUGUGUGAUGAAGGCUUUCGGGUCGUAAAGCACUGUUGUAUGGGAAGAACGGGUUUAAGAGGAAAUGCUUAGACAGUGACGGUACCAUACCAGAAAGGGACGGCUAAAUACGUGCCAGCAGCCGCGGUAAUACGUAUGUCCCGAGCGUUAUCCGGAUUUAUUGGGCGUAAAGCGAGCGCAGACGGUUGCUUAAGUCUGAAGUGAAAGCCCACAGCUCAACUGUGGAAUGGCUUUGGAAACUGGGCAACUUGAGUGCAGUAGAGGUAAGUGGAACUCCAUGUGUAGCGGUGGAAUGCGUAGAUAUAUGGAAGAACACCAGUGGCGAAGGCGGCUUACUGGACUGCAACUGACGUUGAGGCUCGAAAGUGUGGGUAGCAAACAGGAUUAGAUACCCUGGUAGUCCACACCGUAAACGAUGGAUACUAGUUGUUAGAGGGUUUCCGCCCUUUAGUGACGAAGCAA